rnacentral:lncRNA from 1 species
AAACAAGCAACAAACACGUCAAACAACAAUCCAAAACCAAAAUAAUAAUGUUCAAUCCAAUUAUACAGUCCAAAAAUAAAAUGCAAGAAUAUAAAUCCUAUUCUAAGCUAGUCCUAGACUAAGCUCCAAUGCUUCACCCGAUGCCUCGGGCCUUGAUCACGAACCUCCUUCGAAGACAUAAUACAUCGGGAUAUUCCCCGGUGAAUGAAUACAUGAAAUCUCGGGGCAUUCCCUGGCCAAACGAAUACACUCGAAUCAAAUACGAUAAACUAGGAAGAAAUAUUCGCACGCAUAUUCAAACAUUCAACCAAAACACAAGUUCUAAAUUUGCUUAUCCGAACCUACAUUUGCCUAUCCGACUAUCAUGAUACUAUCACGUUCCGACAAUAUUCAUGCUUUUCGAAUUUAAACAAAGCAAUAAUAAAUCAAAGUUUGUUUAAAUUAACCCCUUUUAAUCAACUUCUCAGUUCCACCCCCAACUAUCAAUUCUAAUCCUUCAUGAGAUAUUAUUUCAUCGCACAAUUCAUAAUCAAUCCAUAAUUAAAGAAAUCAACCACCAAAUCAAAACAAACAAUAAUUCAUAUCAUCAUUGAUCAACCAACACACUCUAUCCAAUUCAAAGCAUUGAACAUGACAAACGACGAAAUAAAAAAAAAGAGUAGAAUUGGACCUCAAUGCCGUUUUCAAGUAUCAUUCAAUUAAACGAGAUAAAAUCCGCACCGGAACCUCCGAUCAAACCUCAACCAACGAAUUCAACAUGAACUCGUCAACUCGACUAUCUACCAAACCCGAAACGCAGAAUAUUCACGAAAUGCAAUCCAAACAGCAAUCUACGGGCAUGAAUAAACUAACCCAAGAAUCACAAAUCACAAGAAAAACUGAAGAACCCAUGUGCCUGUAGCUCUGGCGAUCUCGACCGGUAACUAGAAUCAAUGAAACAAGUUAGAAUCCGGCGACCUUAACGUUCUCCGGCAGAAUCUCGUCUAAAACCAAGAAAAAAUGAAAAGAUUUUGGGGAAUUUUGAGGGCUGGGGGGUCGCUGUUUUGCAUCGCCGGAGCUCCGACGGGCUCAAACACAGCGAGAACCAACGAGAACGGAUCGGAUCUCGACUUCUCUCAGGCGAAACUCACCGAAGCAGUACCCCUUUUCCGAUUCUCCCCUUCUCUCUCAGAUCUCUGCUUUCUCUCUACCUCUCUCAAUUGAUCUCUCUCCGUUUCUUUCUAACUCAUGAUUUCCUUUUCCGAUCUCUUGCCCGUCUCCCAUUUCUCCAUUCUACUGUGUGUUGUGUGUUUUGUGUUUGUUCAUUUCCGGCCAGCUCUGUGUGGAUUCGUGUGUAUGUGAUGAGAAUUUCAGUGAAUGUGAAUAUGAGUCGGUGGUGGGUAUUGUGUGUGAUAUGUGUGAAAAUUGAGAGAAUGUUGUUUGAGAAGAAGGUGAAUUCUUCUUUUUUUUUCGUGUGCUGUGAGUGUGAGUGGAGAGAGUAUUUUUUUUUUGUCCGGUUCCUUUUUUCUGUGUGUGAAG